rnacentral:rRNA from 1 species
UAUGUGAUCGUCUCUCGCAUAUCAAUAAGCGGAGGAAAAGAAACUAACAAGGAUUCCCCUAGUAACGGCGAGUGAAGCGGGAAGAGCUCAAAUUUGAAAUCUUAAAGGGUUUCCCUUUACGAAUUGUAGUUUAAAGAAGUGUUUUCUGUUGAGGUUUUGGUAAAAGUUCUUUGGAAUAGGACAUCAUAGAGGGUGAGAAUCCCGUAUUUGACCUUUACUUUCAACUUUGUGAUACACUUUCAAAGAGUCGGAUUGUUUGGGAAUGCAGUCCAAAAUGGGUGGUAAAUUUCAUCUAAAGCUAAAUAUUGGCGAGAGACCGAUAGCGAACAAGUACCGUGAGGGAAAGGAUGAAAAGAACUUUGAAAAGAGAGCUAAACAGUACGUGAAAUUGUCAAAAGGGAAGCGUUUGACACCAGUGUUGUUUUUCUGAAAAUCAAUUAAGGAACUGUUUAUGCUAAGCUGUUUAGACUUUAUCAGCUAACUGUUUAGUUUUGAGCUUUUCUUUAAUGCACUUUUCAGUUAACAAGUCAACAUCAAUUUCUUUUGCUGUAAAAAAGCUUGAGGAAGGUGGCUUGAGAUUCGUCUUAAGUGUUUAUAGCCUCUUGCCUAUGCAGUCGGAGAGAUUGAGGUCUGCAGCGUAGAUCCUUCGGGGCUAAAUGCAUUUGUGCUAAGUUAUAGCAUUUUAAAGACAACUUGUUGACUAUGAUUUGUCUUGUAGCUUACUCGCUUAUGUUAUUUUACCUACGCUUAGGAUGUUGAGUAGCGACAUAAGCAC